GGAUUAGAUACCCGGGUAGUCCACGCCGUAAACGAUGGAUACUAGCUGUCCGGUGCCUUGAGUACUGGGCGGCCAAGCGAAAGUGAUAAGUAUCCCACCUGGGGAGUACGUCCGCAAGGAUGAAACUCAAAGGAAUUGACGGGGGCCCGCACAAGCGGUGGAGCAUGUGGUUUAAUUCGAUGAUACGCGAGGAACCUUACCAGGGCUUAAAUGUGGUAUGACAGCUUUAGAGAUAGAGUUUCCUUCGGGCAUAUUGCAAGGUGCUGCAUGGUUGUCGUCAGCUCGUGCCGUGAGGUGUCAGGUUAAGUCCUAUAACGAGCGCAACCCCUGUUGCCAGUUGCCAGCGAGUAAUGUCGGGGACUCUGGCAAGACUGCCGGUGCAAACCGCGAGG
rnacentral:rRNA from 1 species